ACUGACUGUGUAAAUGCAUAAUUUUUUACUACGUAAGUUAAACUUUAUUUCAGCAAAACCACUUAGAAAUAAUUAACAUCUUCUCAACGUACUUAUGGUUCACUAUUUGUGAUAUUUUAAUGGACGAGUUAAAAUAUUUGAUUGUGUUUCAGGUCGCAGCAUCCUAACUGGGAGGUUCAAGAUUUCAGCACCCGCCUCCAUGAAAACUUUUCCCCAGAGCUACUCAAAACCGCCUUGUUACCUGCAGGCGGAGCAGGACUAGAGGAAGGAAUUUAGGCGUGGUCUUGGAGACCACAGCUCUAGUUCUUCAGGGUAACGUCCAGCUGAGGCAGCAGGUUUCACCAAAAGCUUCCUGACUGACUGGUGCAGGGCAAGCUUUCCUAUUCCGCCAGGUGAAGGAGUAGAGGCCAUUGUGGGGCAUCUCAAUAGUCCAGCCGUUGUGGCGAACGUCUCAAGAAAACUGGGCGUUGAGGACUUUACCAGGAGUGCAGAGUUCCCAAUGAUGCGCUCCAUUCUACGUUCACGGCAGUGAUCGGAGCGCUGCAGGAAAGCAGAGAGAACUGGAUUGUUUUCUUAGAGACUUCCUGGUAACUCAGCUGACAUAUGGACUGUGUUUAACCCUGUGGGGCUUCUGGUGGAGGAAAUGAUGAAGAGGAACAUUCCUUUGACAGCACCUUGUCUCAUCAGAGCUGCUGGAUCCAGUACUGUCCUACCUCUCUACUUUGUAGGCCUGUACAGG